rnacentral:lncRNA from 1 species
GCGCCCGGCGCGGCUCGGCGGCGCGGCCCCCGGGGUCGGAGCGGGGCGCGGGCGGGGGGCCGCGGCGGGGGGAGCGGGGCCGCGCGGGCGGGCGCGUCAGGGGGCGGGGUCUGGGCGGGGGCGGGGCCGGGGGCCGCGCGGGGCGGAGGGAGCGACGGAAAGUUGAUCGGCGACUUGAGCGGCGGCGGCGGCGGCGGCUCGGGAGAGAGGGGCGCGGGCUGCGCGGCGCGAUGCUCCGCGGGGAGGCGCGUCCGACGGCGGCGGGGCGCUGAGCCGGGCGCUGAGCCGGGCGCUGAGCCGGGCGGGGCGGGGCGGGGCGGGGCGGGGGCGGCCGGGCCCGGGCAUGGAGCGCGGGGGCGCGGAGCCUCGGGGCGAUCGGGGCGCGCAGCGUCGGAGCCCGCGGCGCGCCUGAAGUUGCCGGCGACACGCGGGGGAGCCCGGCGCCGGCGGCGAGACGCGGCGGUGGCCUGCAGCGGAGCCGGCGGCCCGGGGGGGCCCGGCCCGGAGGAGCGCAGAGCCGGGGCGCGACGCGGCGCUUCUCCGCACACGCACACGGUACCGACAGCCGCGCCGCCCUUCCCUCCCCGCCCCUCGCCUUCUCCGCACCUCGCCCGCGCGCCCGGAAAGUUGCGGCCGCCGAGAGCCACUUGUUCCGGCUCGGCCAGCGCCCGCGGCGAGCGCCCGGGGCUGCCCCGCGCCCUGCGCCCCGCGCCCCGCGCCCCGCGCCCUGCCCCCGGCCCGGCCCGGCCCCGCGCGGCGCUCGCAGCCCGCGGCCGGACGCGCGGCAACUUGGAUUCCCGGGAACUCGAAUUCCCGCCGGCUUGGCCUCGGGAGGGGCACUCCCCGCCUGGGCCCCGGACCCCCCGCCGCCCGGCUCUCCGCGCUUGGAGAGGGUCUGCCCGGGUCUGGGGUGGGUGGGGGGAAUCCCGGCGGCGAAGAGGCCGUCGGCGUCGGGAUCCCAAUCCCCGCCCCCGUGCGCUCCGGGUCCCCCUUUGGACGGUGGGAUGGGGUGGGGCGCACCGCCCCCGCGCGAUGGGCACGGGCGCUGGAGGAGCCCACAGUCACGUAGCUGUCCCCCGCCCCGGUCACCUCCCAGUGCCGGCGGGAGACCCCGGAGGACCCCCGCAACCUCCCCAAACCCAUCCGGCUUUGGGAAAACGCGCCCCUCGCGGAGCAGCUCCCCGGCAGGCCCGCCCCCGACGGCGCCCGCCGGCCCCGGAGGCCUGCGCUCGGGGUCGCCGCCCCCGCUCCCCUGCGGGUCAGCCCGGGACGCGAGCAAAGCCCGCGCGCUCCGACGUGGUGCCCCGCCAGCCCCAGCCGGCGAGCUCUCAGGUACCUUCCUUCCCCCACGCGAGCACCCGGGGCGCUGCCGCAGGGCUCGGAGCGCAGGUUCGAGCCAUCGCCGCCGCCCCCGCCCCGCCGCGACCCCGGCCCCCUGCCCUGGUGCUGUCUGUGGCCCACUGGGGGGUAAUCGGCCUUUUCUGA